rnacentral:rRNA from 1 species
AUGGGUGUUCUUGGUGCCCUUGCCAGGCAUUUGGAUUCCCUUGUUGGGCCAGGAAUCAUGCUGCUUUAUCCGCUAUAUGCGUCGAUGCGCGCAAUCGAGAGCCCUUCUUCCCUGGAUGAUCAGCAAUGGCUUACCUAUUGGGUGCUGUACUCCCUGAUCACCCUCUUUGAGCUCUCAUGCUGGAAGGCUCUGCAGUGGCUCCCUCUGUGGCCAUACAUGAAGCUCCUCUUCUGCUGCUGGCUGGUGCUGCCGAUCUUCAACGGCGCGGCCUACAUCUACGAGACGCAUGUCCGGCGCUACUUCAAGAUCGGCCAGUACGUGAGCCCCGGCUACAGCGAGAGGCAGAGGAAGGUGCUGCAGAUGAUGAGCCUCGACGCGCGCAAGUCCGUCGAGCGCUUCAUCGAGACGCACGGGCCCGGCGCUCUGGAGAAGAUCAUCCAAGCCGCUGAACAGGAAGCCAAGAGAGCCUAG